rnacentral:rRNA from 1 species
GGAUCCAGACUUUGAUUAUGGCUCAGGACGAACGCUGGCGGCGUGCCUAAUACAUGCAAGUCGAACGAAGCUUUCUUUCACCGAAUGCUUGCAUUCACCGAAAGAAGCUUAGUGGCGAACGGGUGAGUAACACGUAGGCAACCUGCCCAAAAGAGGGGGAUAACACUUGGAAACAGGUGCUAAUACCGCAUAACCAUGAACACCGCAUGAUGUUCAUGUAAAAGACGGCUUUUGUUGUCACUUUUGGAUGGGCCUGCGGCGUAUUAACUUGUUGGUGGGGUAACGGCCUACCAAGGUGAUGAUACGUAGCCGAACUGAGAGGUUGAUCGGCCACAUUGGGACUGAGACACGGCCCAAACUCCUACGGGAGGCAGCAGUAGGGAAUCUUCCACAAUGGACGAAAGUCUGAUGGAGCAACGCCGCGUGAAUGAAGAAGGCCUUCGGGUCGUAAAAUUCUGUUGUCAGAGAAGAACGUGCGUGAGAGUAACUGUUCACGUAUUGACGGUAUCUGACCAGAAAGCCACGGCUAACUACGUGCCAGCAGCCGCGGUAAUACGUAGGUGGCAAGCGUUGUCCGGAUUUAUUGGGCGUAAAGGGAACGCAGGCGGUCUUUUAAGUCUGAUGUGAAAGCCUUCGGCUUAACCGAAGUAGUGCAUUGGAAACUGGAAGACUUGAGUGCAGAAGAGGAGAGUGGAACUCCAUGUGUAGCGGUGAAAUGCGUAGAUAUAUGGAAGAACACCAGUGGCGAAAGCGGCUCUCUGGUCUGUAACUGACGCUGAGGUUCGAAAGCGUGGGUAGCAAACAGGAUUAGAUACCCUGGUAGUCCACGCCGUAAACGAUGAGUGCUAAGUGUUGGAGGGUUUCCGCCCUUCAGUGCUGCAGCUAACGCAUUAAGCACUCCGCCUGGGGAGUACGGUCGCAAGACUGCAACUCAAAUGAAUUGACGG